ensembl:lncRNA
CUCAAACCUCCCUAUAAAAUUUUGCUGUCCAGAUGAGAAAGCAGUCUAAGAAUUUAUGAUUAUGUCUUAAGAAAUGACUUAAUUCUGCAUGUAAGCACUCCCAGUAAACAGAUAGAGCGCACAUUUCAACAUACAACAUGAAUCUCUACAUGCCUUUGUGAGGACAAAAUCUUCAUGCUAAUCCAUCCUUCUAUGGGGAACAGCAAAGAAAGGAACAAAGGGUUUGCAGGCUGGCACUGGCCCAGAGACCUCACUUUGAGUAGCACUAAAAAAGUAACAGCUUCAACCUAUGAUGAUGACGCCAGCAGAUAAUCCCUCCACCUUCCACCUCAAGACAGCUGUGUGUGCUAUGAAUGCUCAUUUGAGAGCCACAGAAGAGUAAAGUGGGUAGACUUCGAGGCUGAUAGAAGACACCAAGCCCAUGAUCUGUGUGGCAGGAGUGACAGACUUGCUGGAAGGAUGCAAGGCGGUAGGAAGCGAGGGCAGGCUGGGUGAACCCACGAGUGUCUUAUGGUUCUGAUCAAGUCAAGAGAGAGACAAGGACCAGCAUUUCAAGUGUUACAGACUUCUGCCUCAGAAACCAUCAAUGACCAGAAGAGCCUGGAAGAACACAAGGACACCCCAUGGAUCUCAUGACUUGUCUUCCUCUCACCCACAUAAGAGGUCACGUAAGCCAUUCUCCCCUUUCCCCCCUCUUGUCUUCACACUUCUCCGGAAGUGCUGAACCAUCUUAGGGAUAGAGCCAGGGAGAGCCAAAAGGCUAUCUGAGGGACUAAAAGACUCUAUGCAAAUGAGAAACUGAGUUUUAUUAUGUAAAGAAUGAUUUAGUUUAUUAGAUCAGACUAACUUUCAACCACAUUGGACAUUUACUUUCCCCUUACUGCUCUAGGAUGACCGUCUUGUCCGGUUUCCUAGGACUUUUCUGGUUUUAGCACUGAAAGUCUCACACUCAGAAACCUCUCAGUCCUCAGCAAACUUGGACUUCACCACCUGCACAAAGAGAAGGCAGGAAUUCAUGAAGGAGACCAGUUAAUAACGUAGUAAAUAAAUAAAUUACCACUUCUCUGCACAUCAAAAUUGUAACAUGGGUUACGUUUUGCAGCGCUACUACAAACUAUGCAUUGAGUGACUAUGGGCCAAGCAAUGUCAUAGGCCCUAGUGAUGCAGUAAUAAACAAGACAGAGUUGAUCUCUGCCCUCAUGGCAGCUCUCUACAGCUAUGGAAAGGACUUCCAGCUACUUAAACUUUCUUGUCUCAGGUUAGUAUAUGUUUAAGAGUCAAGCCUGAAAUAGAAAAGGAAAAUAAAUUCUGGAUGUAAAUACCACCUUUCUGUAAAAAUCACUCCCCAAUCCCGUCCUACAGCAUGUUCAUUUGGCACAUUGCUCUAUGCGCUCUAUGUGCACCUUUGCUUGAUGGAAAGUCUAAUCAGCUAUGCGACUGUGACGAUGAAGAAAUCACUAUUUUCAAUAAACGGAGCCAAGACUAUUUUUAAAAACAGUUUUCCUAAGCUUAAUUAUUGUCAGAUACCUUUCUACUGAAAAAAAAAAACUUGCCGUAAAAUCAACAAUUUAUAAGGGUAAGCAACAAAGAAAAAAUUAAUCAUACGUUUAAUCCU